GUGGGGAAUAUUAGGCAAUGGGCGAAAGCCUGACCUAGCAACGCCGCGUGAAGGAAGAAGGCCUUCGGGUUGUAAACUUCUUUUAUGAGGGACGAAGGACGUGACGGUACCUCAUGAAUAAGCCACGGCUAACUACGUGCCAGCAGCCGCGGUAAUACGUAGGUGGCGAGCGUUGUCCGGAUUUACUGGGUGUAAAGGGCGCGUAGGCGGACUGGCAAGUCAGAUGUGAAAUACAGGGGCUCAACCCCUGAACUGCAUUUGAAACUGUUGGUCUUGAGUAUCGGAGAGGCAAGCGGAAUUCCUAGUGUAGCGGUGAAAUGCGUAGAUAUUAGGAGGAACACCAGUGGCGAAGGCGGCUUGCUGGACGACAACUGACGCUGAGGCGCGAAAGCGUGGGGAGCAAACAGGAUUAGAAACCCCGGUAGUCC
rnacentral:rRNA from 1 species